rnacentral:rRNA from 1 species
GAUGAACGCUGGCGGCGUGCCUAAUACAUGCAAGUCGAGCGAACGGACGAGAAUCUUGCUUCUCUGAUGUUAGCGGCGGACGGGUGAGUAACAUGAGGAUAAUCUACCUAUAAGACUGGGAUAACUUCGGGAAACCGGAGCUAAUACCGGAUAAUAUUUUGAACCGCAUGGUUCAAAAGUGAAAGACGGUCUUGCUGUCACUUAUAGAUGGAUCCGCGCUGCAUUAGCUAGUUGGUAAGGUAACGGCUUACCAAGGCAACGAUGCGUAGCCGACUUGAGAGGGGGAUCGGCGACACUGGAACUGAGACACGGUCCAGACUCCUACGGGAGGCAGCAGUAGGGAAUCUUCCGCAAUGGGCGAAAGCCUGACUCAGCAACGCCGCGUGAGUGAUGAAGGUCUUCGGAUCGUAAAACUCUGUUAUUAGGGAAGAACAUAUGUGUAAGUAACUGUGCACAUCUUGACGGUACCUAAUCAGAAAGCAACGGCUAACUACGUG